rnacentral:lncRNA from 1 species
UUAUGUAAAUAAGGUAUUUCUGUUUAUUUUUUAUACAUUUGCAAACAUUUCUAAAAACCUGUGUUAGCUUAGUCAUUGUGGGGAAAUUGUGUGUAGAUUUAUGAGGAAUAAAUUAAUGUAAUCCAUUUUAGUAUAAGGCCGUAAUAUAACAAAAUGUGGAAAAAGGGAAGGGGUCUGAAAACUGUAUGUAUUAUGUAUAAAUAUGUACUGUUCCAUUUGUACUUACAAACAUUUUGUAGUUUUUUUAAGGAACAAUGCAAUUUGUGGACAGACGGACACCCUGUCUGAAAAUAAACGUCAUUAUGAAUAAACAUCGAAGGUUGGUUUCCCGGACAUGGAACAAGUCUAGUCCUUGACUAAAAUGUACUUUUGAUAGAGAGUCUAUAUUCAGCAUUCAUUUUAGUCCAGGACUAGGCUAAAUCUGUGUGUGGGAAACUGGUCCAUACAGUAUUUACUGCUUAAGAUCGGCUGAGAGAGUAAGGGGACCAGACAGUGUGAAGGGGACUUGGCUUGGGACAGGAAGAGGACCAGGCAGUGAAGAGACUUGGCUUGGGACAGGAAGGGGAUCAGACAGUGUGAAGAGGACUUGGCUUGGGACAGGAAGAGGACCAGGCAGUGAAGAGACUUGGCUUGGGACAGGAAGGGGACGAGGCAGUGUGAGGGGACCAGACAGUGUGAAGGGACUUGGCUUGGGACAGGAAGAGGACCAGGCAGUGAAGAGACUUGGCUUGGGACAGGAAGGGGACCAGGCAGUGUGAGGGGACCAGACAGUGUGAAGGGACUUGGUUUGGGACAGGAAGGGGACCAGGAAGUGAAUAGACUUGGCUUGGGACAGGAAGGGGACCAUACAGUGUGAAGGGACUUAGUUUGGAACAGGAAGGGGACCAGGCAGUGAAGAGACUUGGCUUGGGACAGGAAGGGGACCAGGCAGUGUGAGGGGACCAGACAGUGUGAAGGGACUUAGUUUGGAACAGGAAGGGGACCAGGCAGUGAAUAGACUUGGCUUGGUACAGGAAGGGGACCAUACAGUGUGAAGGGACUUGGUUUGGGACAGGAAGGGAACCAGGCAGUGAAUAGACUUGGUUUGGGACAGGAAGGGGACCAUACAGUGUGAAGGGACUUGGUUUGGGACAGGAAGGGAACCAGGCAGUGAAUAGACUUGGCUUGGUACAGGAAGGGGACCAGACAGUGUGAAGGGACUUAGUUUGGAACAGGAAGGGGACCAGGCAGUGAAGAGACUUGGCUUGGGACAGGAAGGGGACCAGGCAGUGUGAGGGGACCAGACAGUGUGAAGGGACUUAGUUUGGAACAGGAAGGGGACCAGGCAGUGAAUAGACUUGGCUUGGUACAGGAAGGGGACCAUACAGUGUGAAGGGACUUGGUUUGGGACAGGAAGGGAACCAGGCAGUGAAUAGACUUGGCUUGGUACAGGAAGGGGACCAGACAGUGUGAAGGGACUUGGUUUGGGACAGGAAGGGAACCAGGCAGUGAAUAGACUUGGC